GCCAGCAGCCGCGGUAACACGUAGGAGGCGAGCGUUAUUCGGAUUUACUGGGCGUAAAGCGCGUGUAGGCGGCUAUAUAAGUUGGAUGUGAAAGCUCCCGGCUUAACUGGGAGAGGACGUUCAAAACUAUAUAGCUUGAGUACGAGAGAGGAAAAUGGAAUUCCGGGUGUAGUGGUGAAAUGCGUAGAUAUCCGGAGGAACACCAGUGGCGAAGGCGAUUUUCUGGCUCGAGACUGACGCUCAGACGCGAAAGCUAGGGUAGCAAGCGGGAUUAGAGACCCCGGUAGUCCUAGCUGUAAACGAUGUAGACUAGGCGUUGGUGGAGUAAAAUCCAUCAGUGCCGCAGCAAACGCGAUAAGUCUACCGCCUGGGGACUACGGCCGCAAGGUUAAAACUCAAAGGAAUUGACGGGGCCC
rnacentral:rRNA from 1 species